rnacentral:lncRNA from 1 species
UGUCUGUCUGUCUCUUGUUUUAGGAUAAUUAGAAAGUUUCUAAAUUAACAGACUUCAAAUUUUUAAUGUGUUAGCUGAUUACAGAAUUGCUUGUUCGGUGUUGCUUGAAACUGCUGUUAUGAGAGAAAUUAUAUGUAUCAUAAUUCUGUACCUUAUUUACCUGUGUUAAAAUUUUAAAUGUGCUGCACUAUCUCAAGUCUCACCGGAUGAAAUGUGAAUUCUUUAUCACUUAAUUUUGUUUCAUUUGAAAAUUUUUAUCCAUUUCAAAGCAAAAUUAAAAUGAAUUUUGAAAUAUAGUUAGAUAUUGCUUAUGGAAAAUUAUGCUUUCUUCAGAGAAAGCUGUAUAUGUUAAGUAAAGUUGUAAGAACAAACGAAAAAAGACCAAUUUUGGUCAAAAUUUUGUGCAUUGUGCUGCAAAAUUAAGGAAAUUAGAAGAUCAAUUUUAGUACGUACGCCAAAAAGUUACAAAAAACUGGGGCUCCGUGAAAACUCCAACAUAAGCAUAUUUAGUUGCUAUGAAAUGUGUGAAAGAGGAGAAAAAUAUUUGAAUAUUUACAAGUUAAAUUAAUAAAAAAGCUAUAUGCUAAACAAAUUAGGGAAUUUUUAACACAGUAAAAAAAAAAAUCAAUUGAACGAGGUAAAAUAAAGAUAAUAGCCUAUAUGCUAUGUUUUAUGCAUCAUUUCGUUAGGUUUUUUGAAUGUAACAUGAAAAGUUCUAAGGCAUUAUUUAAAUGUAUAUUGCCUGUAAAGUCUGAAAGUUUUUAUAUUGAUGUAAAUAGUUUAUCAGUUUCAAAGUUUUUCAUUUUAAUGCAAUUACAGUUUGAUAGCUGUGAGCAUUUAUAUUACUCAUGGGAUUUUUUUUUUUUUUUUUUUUUUCUGUUUUUAUUGUUGCUAGAGGUCUUACAUUAUUUGCUUUUACUAUUUUGAGUUGUAAAAAAAUGUAUAAAAGAGGCUGUAUGUUCUGAAAGGAAGUGUAUGAAAACAUUCGAUUUUUGCCUUUAUAUUAAUAACUUUACCAAAAACUAGAUUUUAUAUACAAUUUUUUUUUUUUUUUUUACAUACAUUUUAUUUAAAUGUGUACAGUUUGAUAAUCGCAACAUUUCUGUACAAUUUGUUUACAUGUACGAAUUAAUAAGCUGUUACUGUGCAUGCAUAAAUUUCUUAGGCACAUACAAAAAUAAAUUUUGAUGCAGAACAGAUAUUUGUAGAUUUUAUUUAUGAAUGUAUGUUAUUGCCUUUUUUUUUUGUAUUAUAUGAAGCAUGAUGACAUAACACUGCAGAAUUUUGAAUCUGAGAUCCAGAUGUCUUUUAUGUAGAAAAAGUAGCAGAUGUAUUUAUAAAACAAAUUUAGUAAAUGCCAUAUAUGUGACCAACUAUAUAUCAUGUAAUUUGUUUUUAGUGAAAUCUGAAUAUUGUAUUUGUAUCCCCAUCAAUUUUGUGCAUCAGUGAAAUCCUGGCUAUUUUUAUUCAAAAGUAAUAAAAUUUUUAUAUAAGACAGAUUUUAUGAGAAAAAACAAAAGUGUAUGUAUGACAGACAAUAUUUACAUGUUUACAGCUGGUGAAUGCUAUUUAGUGAAAUGAUUGUUAAAUGCUAACACAUAAUUCUAAGUAUACUCAAACAUGUGUAUGAUAUUUAUUGGGUAAUGUUUUGUUUAUGUUCAAAAGUAUGCCAAAGAAAAGAUAAUUGCAGUACUCCUGGAGUGCUGAUACCUGAGUGUGGAUAAUUAGCAGUGACAACUUGGCGGAGCUCAAAUCUCUCAUCGGAUGAUUCAUUGUAUAGUAUAUCAAGUUAUGCACGCUGUCUGCCUUCUGGUGAAAAAGUCCAUCAGUGUUGUCUUUGUUCUUAUACUACAAAAUACAGAGCUAAUAUGCAAACACAUUUAAAUGCACAUGUUGUCUCCAGAAAUGAAAAUGUGUCAAGGUACAGCUUUUAUACCUUAUCAAGAAAGAAAAGUUUCCAAAUAAAUGCAUCAAAAAGGCACAGAUGUAUAUCAUGUUCAUAUUCAACAAAUAACAGUGCACAUUUGCAUUCACAUUUCUUAACUCAUACUGGUGUUCGACCUUUUGUGUGUAGUAAAUGUGGAAAAGGAUUUACUCAAAAAGGCAACUUGCAUCGUCAUAUUAUUUGUCACCUUAGAGAUUCUAAUAGGUGGAGUACAGUUGUACCAGUAUCAAAAUCUCUUCUCAUCAUUUGAUUUAAAGUCAAGGAAUAGGAAUAAUAUUCUGCGCUGGAGAAGUGGUCCAGUGAAACGACAUCGUUGUAGUCUUUGCCCUUAUUCAACAAAUAAUUCAAGCCAUUUGCAAAUUCAUCUGGUGACACAUACAGGAGAAAGACCCCAUAAAUGCACAAAAUGUGGUAAAACGUUUUCUCAGCGUAGUAGCUUGAGACGACAUAUCAUGUGCCAUAUUGAUCUUUCAAUUGCACUCUAAAUGGAACAAAUAUCUAUGCAAAAGAUCACAUUCCUAUAUGUAUCACAUUAUGAAUUUUCUAGAGAGACAUCUAAUGUCGACUUAUGUGUAUGUAUGUUGUUAGUAGAUUUUAAUGUGAUGUAAGUUAUUCUCUGCUUAAAGCAGCUUUUCUCCAAUUUUUAUACUGUUUAAAAUAUAUUUAAUUCUUUGCUAAAAGCAAUUUUCUGUUCUUGUUGCUUUACAAGAAUUUUAAUCUGGCACUGUAAAAAUUAGCUAUCAUUUUGAUAUCAGGGUUCUUGUAAUAGGGUAAAAGUAGACUGUGAUUAUUGUUGAUAGAUUUAGAAUAGCAUUUAUGUAAAUUAUGCAUCCAUUUUUAAAGUUUGGUGAUGUAUUUGCAGUAAAAUCAGGACAAAUCAUAUUGUAUUUUCCCCCAGCUGAAAUAAAUACCUGUUCAUUUCAUGGGGUUAACAUGAAAUGCAGAUUAUCUAGGUUUUUAAAAAUUAGUAUACUAAGUUAAAUAAUGGCCUUUAAACAUGAAAAUAAAUAAUGAUUUAUAUUUUAAAUUGUGAAUAAUUUUUGAAUGACAACUCUUAAAAUGACGGUGUAUUUGAAUAUUUUUUAAUUCCUAAGAUAAAAACUAAAACUGAAUAAAAUAAGAAAAAUUAAUUUUUAUUUGACUUGAACUAUAAAAAAGAUACAGCACAUAAAAAUCAAAAAUUAUAAAUAUAAUUUAAUACAAAGUCAGAUGUCUAUGGACAUGUCCCUAAAUUAUAACUUCAUCAUACUGAAACAACAGUUUAGAAAUAGAUCAUAAAUAGUAAACAAUAUUUUACAAAAGCUUGAUUAAACAAUUUGCUAGAUUAAAGUAAUUAUAUAAAUUUAAAUGAUUUCCCAUGUUUAAGGACAACUUUGUUUUUCCUUAAUUUGUUUGUAGCAAAGUGCUCUAAUGUAGAAAAUGAGCAUUGCAUUAUUAAUUAAAAAAAAAAAAAAAAAAAAA